rnacentral:rRNA from 1 species
CUUAGUAACGGCGAGUGAAGCGGCAAAAGCUCAAAUUUGAAAUCUGGUACCUUCGGUGCCCGAGUUGUAAUUUGGAGAGGGCAACUUUGGGGCCGUUCCUUGUCUAUGUUCCUUGGAACAGGACGUCAUAGAGGGUGAGAAUCCCGUGUGGCGAGGAGUGCGGUUCUUUGUAAAGUGCCUUCGAAGAGUCGAGUUGUUUGGGAAUGCAGCUCUAAGUGGGUGGUAAAUUCCAUCUAAAGCUAAAUAUUGGCGAGAGACCGAUAGCGAACAAGUACAGUGAUGGAAAGAUGAAAAGAACUUUGAAAAGAGAGUGAAAAAGUACGUGAAAUUGUUGAAAGGGAAGGGCAUUUGAUCAGACAUGGUGUUUUGUGCCCUCUGCUCCUUGUGGGUAGGGGAAUCUCGCAUUUCACUGGGCCAGCAUCAGUUUUGGUGGCAGGAUAAAUCCAUAGGAAUGUAGCUUGCCUCGGUAAGUAUUAUAGCCUGUGGGAAUACUGCCAGCUGGGACUGAGGACUGCGACGUAAGUCAAGGAUGCUGGCAUAAUGGUUAUAUGCCGCCCGUCUUGAA